UAGAACUUGCAUGAAAGCUAUUAAUAUGCUUAUCCUAUAUUUUUAACAGAAAAAUGAAGUCAGCAAGGAAUACUUCUUAAAAACUGUAAGGAAUAUUGUUGGUGAUAAAUUGCUUAAGCAAGCUGCUUCACAAUAUCAAAUGCAGGCACAACGAAGCCCUCAGAUAAACCCAAGCAACUAUUCUUUAUCUGGUCAAGUUUCUGGUCAGCAGACUGCUCCCAAUGGUUCUGUGACAGGAGAUGAACAGAAGGGAUAUCCAGGGGCGCACACCAUCCCUAUGAGACAAGCUAUUGCCAGCACUCGACCACCUCAAUUUCGGCCUUCCUCGUCUGGCCAAAUGGGGAGUAAUACGGCAUCACGUGCAGCGACCACAAACAUCUUCACCAGUGUUUGGGGCAAAUAGUAUUCAUGCACGUCCAUUUCCGCGAC